UGAGAAUUAGAACCUAACAGUUGUUAGGGUGAUGUUGCUUUUAAGCUUCUGCAUAUUUAGUUUUGGUUUUGUUUAUUUGUGUGUGUAUAGUUUAAAGUAACUCUGAAAAGUCAACAAGUUUAUUUGAUCAAUUAAUCACAUGAGUUCUCAUAUUUGAAAUAGCUGUGCUGUAGUUACCUAUAUUUUCAGGAAGUUUAAUGUAGGGUGGACCACAUGGACAGCUCCUUAGUGGUCAAUGAAAAUAAGGACAUUUUCUUCAGCGUCACUAAUGAUCUGUCACAACAUCAGACGUGAGUCUCCAUAUCCUCCUCUGUAGGUUUUUCUGUGUCCUACCAAGCACACAUCAGUUUUCUCACAUGACAAUCUUUGUGUGGAGUUCACUUCACUGACGGAAGAACGUGGAAAAUAUGUCUUUGUCUUAUAUUCUUCUCAUUUAUGUUGCCGGAGUUGCGGUAAAAGAAAGUUGUGCAGAUUCGGUUCCCACUCCCACUAUUGUAUUUUCCCCUGAUUACAUCAAUGUAGCUACACCUGUUACAGUACGCUGUGAGUCACCAGAAGGCACAGAGUGCAUUUUCUACAGAGAUCACGACCCCAAACCUAUAAGAACAGUGGAUUACAAGCAGGGUGCUUGCCAGUUCAAGUUGUUAUGGAAUGAGUUCAAAAAGUGGAACAAGACUGAAGUAGAUCUCAGCUGUGUAAUUCUACAGAACAGAGAAGAUAAAACGAUCAAAACCUCAAAACCUAGUGAUGCUCGAAGACUUAAUGUGGGUGAUCCAAUUGGAAUGCCCAGUGUUCAUGUGGAGAAGAUCGGGAAUUACCUCAAUCUUCGAUGUGAGUGCAAGGCUGGCACCUCAUGCUACUUUUAUCUGAACAAUGGUGACUCACACUUCAAAAAACUACCCUACAAAGACAAUGUCUGUGUGGGGAGAGUGGCAGAAGAGGAACUGCAGAGGAAGAGGAGCAGUGCUGGAGAGAUCUUCAUCACCUGUGCUGUGGAGCUGUUGGUAGAGGGUGAAGAUACUGUGACAUCACAGCGUAGUGAAUCCCUCGGUAUCACCAUAGAUGUUGUAAAUCCUCCAGGAGCUACUAGUUCCCCAUCAGCGUUCAGUUUAAUCAUAACUGGUCAGGAGGAGACAAGCAGCAAUGUCACAGCCCAAGGAAGAGUUUCUUCAGGUCCAGUGUUCCUCGUCAUCAUCAGUCUGGGUGCUGGUUCCCUUUUCCUGGUUCUGCUAGCUGGGUCUGUGCUGUGUGUUCUCCAACGCAAUUGUGGGGUUCAAUGCAGGCCUGUAAAUACUGGAAGCCCACCUGAGCAGCAAGACCAAACCCCACCUUGUGUCUAUUCUGUCAUCACAAAGCCGUCUAGGGAUGAGGAAGAGGACAGUAGUCUGCAAUACGCUACUGUGACAUCUACCAGUGACCAAGCUAGUCUUCAAUAUGCAACAGUGACAUCUACCGGUGGCAGGUUUGGGACCUUCAAAGAACUCCUAACCAUGAUCCAAUGAAUGUGCUGCUGGUGCCUUAUGUGGGACAAGGAGAAUCAGACAAACACUUGGAUUACCCAGGAGAAGAAGCACCAGAUCUCAGUAAGCCUGAAGUUUGUGACCCUGACUGAAGUGGUUGAGCUGAGCUGCGAGUCCUCUGCCCUUGUAGAGGGUCAGCAGUGAUUGUUCUAUGUGGAUUCUAAACUCAAGGAGCUUGGUCGCUCAAAUGCCAGCCACAACCAAUGCUCCCUCCCAGUUAAGGGGUCAGAGCUGCUUGGGUGGAAGCCAGAGGGCUGUGGUCAAAAGUCACCAUCCAGUGUCAUUACGAAAAGGACUCACCUCCCAGCAAAAAUGUCACAGUGGUGGUGUGGAACACAAACAUGCUGACUAAGUACAUCAUCGGAUGUAUGGCCCUGAUAGGAUUCAUGAUUCUACCUGCAGUAUUCAUAUUCUACAUCACCUGUCUCCUCUCACUGAAAGCAAAGAGGAACGGACACCUCGUCAUAACAAGAUCGCCCAGUGACCAGACAUUGCCAGGAGACACUACCGUAACAAGAAGGUGAAGAUGAUUGGUGCUAUGCCACCGUGUCCCAUGCUGGUGCUCCUCCAUCCUACUGAGUCAAGUUUGAGCAAGGCCAUGACUAUGCCAC
rnacentral:lncRNA from 1 species